GAAGGAGGGUGGAGACUUAAACAAGGAUACACUUUCUAACUCAUAGCCUCAAGGAGAAAACAAGAUUUUUCCAGAAAAAUUAAUGUUUUAAAUGCAGACCUUCCACGUUCAGCUGGCGACAGCUCAUCCCAGACAGGACUGGCAAUGCAGGGAUCCAGAAAAUGGCAGCAAUACAGAGAUCCAAAGUCCACAUCAUCUUUACUAGAGAAGCUCCUGGGGCAAUUGACAAAAGAGAGUUAGCUGCUACGGUAGCAUUUAGCUGCAGUACGCAUCCAUUGCCAUUACUUCUGUCUGCUGAGAUAACCUGGACACUCUCUUUUAAUUCCUUAUUAUUGGUCUGUGAAUCCAGAAUGGAUCCAAAACACACUGAUAUACAAGC
rnacentral:lncRNA from 1 species